GGCCCCUUCGUCUAGCGGUCUAGGACAUCGCUUUCUCAAGGCGGAAACACGGGUUCGAGUCCCGUAGGGGUCA
rnacentral:tRNA from 1 species